GGGUCGGUGGCGUAGUUGGUUAUCGCAUCUGUCUAACAAGUUCCAGGUUUGAACCGAGUGUUUCGUGGCGCACAGAAGGUCCUCAGUUCGAUCCUGGGCCGACUCA